GCAUGGAUAGUGCAACGGCUCAGCACGCGCUUCCGGCAAGAGUGAGAUCUGGGUUCAAGUCCCACCUGACGCA